rnacentral:rRNA from 1 species
CGUGUAGGCGGCAAGGCAAGUCGGAUGUGAAAGCCCAUGGCUCAACCGUGGAAGUGCACCCGAAACUGCCUCGCUAGAGUCUCGGAGAGGAAGGUGGAAUGCUUGGUGUAGAGGUGAAAUUCGUAGAUAUCAAGCGGAACACCGGUGGCGAAGGCGGCCUUCUGGACGAUGACUGACGCUGAGACGCGAAAGCGUGGGAGCAAACA